rnacentral:rRNA from 2 species
UGGGGAAUAUUGGGCAAUGGGCGAAAGCCUGACCCAGCAACGCCGCGUGAGGGAAGAAGGCUUUCGGGUCGUAAACCUCUGUCCUCAGGGAAGAAAAGAAUGACGGUACCUGAGGAGGAAGCCCCGGCUAACUACGUGCCAGCAGCCGCGGUAAUACGUAGGGGGCAAGCGUUGUCCGGAAUGACUGGGCGUAAAGGGCGUGUAGGCGGCCGAUUAAGUCUGGAGUGAAAGUCCUGCUUUUAAGGUGGGAAUUGCUUUGGAAACUGGUUGGCUUGAGUGCGGAAGAGGUAAGUGGAAUUCCCAGUGUAGCGGUGAAAUGCGUAGAGAUUGGGAGGAACACCAGUGGCGAAGGCGACUUACUGGGCCGUAACUGACGCUGAGGCGCGAAAGCGUGGGGAGCGAACAGG